rnacentral:misc_RNA from 1 species
UUGUUUCAUUUAAUGUUUACUCAGACGCAAAGAUGCAGAGUUGUGUGGACCAGCGGGGACCCCCUGGCGCCGAAGCGCCGGGUCGCCCCCGAGGCAACAGAGUCGGACAACAAUGGGUUGGAGGUCGGACCACGAGGGCCCUCACUCAGUAAUGAUCCCUCCGCAGGUUCACCUACGGAGA